CCUAGACAGAUGUCUGCUCCAUGGUUUAAAAGAGUAUGUGAUACCAUCCACAUUUUUCACAGCUAAACCCUUGAAAACUGGGAGGCAGACAAAGGAACCCAAACGUGAAGAGCAUUCAUUAAAAGAUGUAAAUAGCCAAGAUCCAUGCUGUUUUGUUUCAAUCUUCUUUAUACGGUUGAAAACAGGAAAGCCUCCUGUCACGCAGACUCCAGGAUUCUCAGGGCCCAAUAAAGAUAAAGCAAGCAGUAUAUGA
rnacentral:lncRNA from 1 species